GAACGCUGGCGGCGUGCCUAACACAUGCAAGUCGAACGAGCAAAUACAUUUGAUUUCUUCGGAAUGAAGAUGUAGGCGCGAGUGGCGGACGGGUGAGUAACGCGUGAGUAAUCUGCCUCAUACAGGAGAAUAACACUAAGAAAUUGGUGCUAAUACUCCAUAAGCUCACAUUAUGACAUCAUAGAGUGAGAAAAGAUUUAUCGGUAUGAGAGGAGCUCGCGUCUGAUUAGCUAGUUGGUGGGGUAACGGCCUACCAAGGCAACGAUCAGUAGCCGACCUGAGAGGGUGAUCGGCCACAUUGGAACUGAGACACGGUCCAAACUCCUACGGGAGGCAGCAGUGGGGAAUAUUGCACAAUGGGGGAAACCCUGAUGCAGCAACGCCGCGUGAAGGAAGAAGUAUUUCGGUAUGUAAACUUCUAUCGACAGGGAAGAAACAAAUGACGGUACCUGAAUAAGAAGCACCGGCUAAAUACGUGCCAGCAGCCGCGGUAAUACGUAUGGUGCAAGCGUUAUCCGGAUUUACUGGGUGUAAAGGGUGAGUAGGCGGUCAUGCAAGUCAUAUGUGAAAUGUCAGGGCUUAACCUUGGCGCUGCAUAAGAAACUGUAUGACUAGAGUGCAGGAGAGGUAAGCGGAAUUCCUAGUGUAGCGGUGAAAUGCGUAGAUAUUAGGAAGAACACCGGUGGCGAAGGCGGCUUACUGGACUGUUACUGACGCUGAGUCACGAAAGCGUGGGGAGCAAACAGGAUUAGAUACCCUGGUAGUCCACGCCGUAAACGAUGAGUGCUAGGUGUUGGCCAGAGAUGGUCGGUGCCGCAGCAAACGCAAUAAGCACUCCACCUGGGGAGUACGACCGCAAGGUUGAAACUCAAAGGAAUUGACGGAA
rnacentral:rRNA from 1 species